GGCGGCGGCGGGGGUGG
rnacentral:miRNA from 1 species